rnacentral:lncRNA from 10 species
UGUACCAGAAUCCAGAGAAAGAUACCAACAGAUCGAGAGUUACUAUCCAGUGGCUCCUCAUCCAACUCAGAUCAGACCUUCGUACCUCAGAGAACCUCCUUAUAGCCGGCUUCCUCCUCCUCCCCAGCCUCAUCCUAGUCUAGAUGAACUACAUCGCCGACGAAAGGAAAUAAUGGCCCAGCUAGAGGAAAGAAAGGUUAUCUCUCCACCUCCUUUUGCACCUUCACCAACCUUGCCUCCUACCUUUCAUCCGGAAGAAGUAAGCAAAUCAUUUUUAGUCUCAUUUAUCCGUGUUUUUUUGUG